CCUACGGGGGGCAGCAGUGGGGAAUAUUGGACAAUGGGGGCAACCCUGAUCCAGCCAUGCCGCGUGUGUGAAGAAGGCCCUCGGGUUGUAAAGCACUUUCAGUGAGGAAGAACGCCUGGUGGUUAAUACCCAUCAGGAAAGACAUCACUCACAGAAGAAGCACCGGCUAACUCCGUGCCAGCAGCCGCGGUAAUACGGAGGGUGCGAGCGUUAAUCGGAAUUGCUGGGCGUAAAGCGCGCGUAGGUGGCUUGAUAAGCCGGUUGUGAAAGCCCCGGGCUCAACCUGGGAACGGCAUCCGGAACUGUCAAGCUAGAGUGCAGGAGAGGAAGGUAGAAUUCCCGGUGUAGCGGUGAAAUGCGUAGAGAUCGGGAGGAAUACCAGUGGCGAAGGCGGCCUUCUGGACUGACACUGACACUGAGGUGCGAAAGCGUGGGUAGCAAACAGGAUUAGAUACCCUAGUAGUC
rnacentral:rRNA from 1 species